AGAGUUUGAUCCUGGCUCAGGAUGAACGCUGACAGAAUGCUUAACACAUGCAAGUCUACUUGAAUUCACUUCGGUGAUAGUAAGGUGGCGGACGGGUGAGUAACACGUAAAGAACUUGCCUUGCAGUCUGGGACAACUAUUGGAAACGAUAGCUAAUACCGGAUAUUAUGCGUGAGUCGCAUGACUCAUGUAUGAAAGCUAUAUGCGCUGCGAGAGAGCUUUGCGUCCCAUUAGCUAGUUGGUGAGGUAACGGCUCACCAAGGCCACGAUGGGUAGCCGGCCUGAGAGGGUGAACGGCCACAAGGGGACUGAGACACGGCCCUUACUCCUACGGGAGGCAGCAGUGGGGAAUAUUGGACAAUGGACCAAAAGUCUGAUCCAGCAAUUCUGUGUGCACGAUGACGGUCUUAGGAUUGUAAAGUGCUUUCAAUUGGGAAGAAAAAAAUGACGGUACCAAUAGAAGAAGCGACGGCUAAAUACGUGCCAGCAGCCGCGGUAAUACGUAUGUCGCAAGCGUUAUCCGGAUUUAUUGGGCGUAAAGCGCGUCUAGGUGGUUUGGUAAGUCUGAUGUGAAAAUGCGGGGCUCAACUCCGUAUUGCGUUGGAAACUGCCUAACUAGAGUAUCGGAGAGGUGGGCGGAACUACAAGUGUAGAGGUGAAAUUCGUAGAUAUUUGUAGGAAUGCCGAUAGAGAAGUCAGCUCACUGGACGAAUACUGACACUGAAGCGCGAAAGCAUGGGGAGCAAACAGGAUUAGAUACCCUGGUAGUCCAUGCUGUAAACGAUGAUUACUAAGCGUCGGGGGUCGAACCUCGGCACUCAAGCUAACGCGAUAAGU
rnacentral:rRNA from 1 species